AAAAGGAGGAUUGUAGCCCACAUAAUGAAGUCAAGGUCGUCCAUGCUCCCACUAGUAAUACAGAGUUCACGCCUCUUUUUUUUCAUUUUUAUUUCUAAUUUCAUUUUUCAUAUCCACCAAACAAAGCUUUCUCCAUAAGACUGUUAACUGAUUUUAUCAAAGGAGCAAAUGGUGUUUCAACAAUUUACUUCUAGCUUGAAAAAGAAAUGCGUCUUCAUCAUUAUUGUUCUCUUUGUUCCGUAUUGAUGAGGUUAUUAGAGGUUCCAGUCUCGAGGUUGAGGAUCCGCAGCUGGGAGACUGUCAUUCGUCUAUUCAUCUUGUAUACUUUUAAAUAGUAUUGGAUUAUUGGAUAAUGUUUUAAGGGGUCCUUGAGUUAUGGGAUUUCCGAAUUGUAAUUGUUGGAGAAUCAUUAAGUAAUAUUUAUUUAUUGGUUUUCUUCA